rnacentral:rRNA from 1 species
CGUGUAGGCGGUUGGUCAAGUCUGAUGUGAAACGCCCGGAGCCUAGCUCCGGAAGUGCAUUGGAAACUAGCCAGCUAGAGCGCGAUAGGAGGAGGGUAGAAUUCCUGGUGUAGCGGUGAAAUGCGUAGAUAUCAGGAGGAAUACCGGCGGCGAACGGCGGCCCUCUGGCUCGUUGCUGACGCUGAAACGCGGAAAACGUGGGGAGCAAACAGGAUUAGAUACCCUGGUAGUCCACGCUGUAAACUAUGAGUACUAGAUGUUCGGGGUGUUGACCCCCUGAGUGUCGCAGCUAACGCAGUUAAGUACUCCGCCUGGGGACUACGGCCGCAAGGUUAAA